rnacentral:tRNA from 1 species
AGGGAUUUAGGAUAAAUACCAGACCAAAAGCCUUCAAAGCUUUAAGCAGGAGUGAAAACCUCCUAGUCCCUG